rnacentral:misc_RNA from 1 species
CAGAGUUCAUGCCCUUCGGGGUAGACCUCCCACCCUUUGUAUACAUUGCCUUUGUUGCUUUGGCGGACCGCCCUUGGGCCACCGGCUCCGGCUGGUGCGUGUCCGCCAGAGACCCCAAACCCUGUUUUACAGUGUCGUCCGAGUACUAUAUAAUAGUUA